rnacentral:tRNA from 1 species
GGAGGCGUGCCUCAGUGGCGGGGGCUCUGCUUUGCCUGCAGUAGGUCCCGGGUUCAAUGCCCAGCAUCUCCA